UGGGGAAUAUUGGACAAUGGGCGCAAGCCUGAUCCAGCCAUGCCGCGUGGGUGAAGAAGGCCUUCGGGUUGUAAAGCCCUUUUGUUGGGGAAGAAAUCGUGCAGGUGAAUAUCCUGCGCGGAUGACGGUACCCAAAGAAUAAGCACCGGCUAACUUCGUGCCAGCAGCCGCGGUAAUACGAAGGGUGCAAGCGAUACUCGGAAUUACUGGGCGUAAAGCGUGCGUAGGCGGUUCGUUAAGUCCGUUGUGAAAGCCCUGGGCUCAACCUGGGAAUUGCAGUGGAUACUGGCGAGCUAGAGUACGGUAGAGGAUGGUGGAAUUCCCGGUGUAGCGGUGAAAUGCGUAGAGAUCGGGAGGAACACCCGUGGCGAAGGCGGCCAUCUGGACCAGUACUGACGCUGAGGCACGAAAGCGUGGGGAGCAAACA
rnacentral:rRNA from 1 species